CUAAUUGAAAUUCUACCAGCCAUGGCCUCUUACUGCUGCACCAGUUUUGCUUUAAUCAUUGCUAUUUCCUUUUCAACCAUGGACAUAGCAUUACCAGCACGAGCAAUUCGGCUACCUGGAUUAACUUUACCUGAAUUACCACCUCUACCUUCAGUCACAUUGCCAACUCUACCUCCAGUCUCAUUGCCACAUCUAAGAGUACCACCUCUACCUUCAGUCACAUUGCCAACUCUACCUCCAGUCUCAUUGCCACCUCUAAGAGUACCACCUCUACCUUCAGUCACAUUGCCAACUCUACCUCCAGUCUCAUUGCCACCUCUAAGAGUACCACCUCUACCUUCAGUCACAUUGCCAACUCUACCUCCAGUCUCAUUGCCACCUCUAAGAGUACCACCUCUACCUUCAGUCACAUUGCCAACUCUACCUCCAGUCUCAUUGCCACCUCUACCUCCAGUCACAUUGCCACCUCUUCCACCUGUUCCAGGUUUGCCAUCUCUACCACCGGUUUUGCCAUCUCUACCACCUCUUCCAGUUUUGCCACCUCUUUCUUAAGGGCAUAGCCAUCUUCGCGCACUCUUCCUAAUAUCCAACCACUUUACAUCCCAUUCCUUUCUCCACCAC
rnacentral:lncRNA from 1 species